GACGAACGCUGGCGGCGUGCUUAACACAUGCAAGUCGAACGGUGAAAGAAGAGCUUGCUCUUCUGGAUCAGUGGCGAACGGGUGAGUAACACGUGAGUAACCUGCCCCAGACUCUGGAAUAAGCGCUGGAAACGGCGUCUAAUACCGGAUACGAGACAGAGCCGCAUGGCUACUGUCCGGAAAGUUUUUCGGUCUGGGAUGGACUCGCGGCCUAUCAGCUUGUUGGUGAGGUAACGGCUCACCAAGGCAACGACGGGUAGCCGGCCUGAGAGGGCGACCGGCCACACUGGGACUGAGACACGGCCCAGACUCCUACGGGAGGCAGCAGUGGGGAAUAUUGCACAAUGGGCGAAAGCCUGAUGCAGCGACGCCGCGUGAGGGAUGACGGCCUUCGGGUUGUAAACCUCUUUCAGCAGGGAAGAAGCGAAAGUGACGGUACCUGCAGAAGAAGCACCGGCUAACUACGUG
rnacentral:rRNA from 1 species